rnacentral:rRNA from 1 species
UGCGCAGGCGGUUUUGUAAGUCAGAUGUGAAAUCCCCGGGCUUAACCUGGGAACUGCGUUUGAAACUACAAGACUAGAGUGUAGCAGAGGGGGGUGGAAUUCCAUGUGUAGCAGUGAAAUGCGUAGAGAUAUGGAAGAACACCGAUGGCGAAGGCAGCCCCCUGGGUUAACACUGACGCUCAGGCACGAAAGCGUGGGGAGCAGACA